rnacentral:rRNA from 1 species
GGGUCAGUAGGUUGGUCGUGCCACCGGUACGUACUGGUCUCACUGAUUCCUCCUUCCUGAAGAACCGUAAUGCCAUUAUUUUGGUGUUGCGGGGAAACAGGACUGUUACUUUGAAAAAAUUAGAGUGUUUAAAGCAAGCUAACGCUUGAAUACAUUAGCAUGGAAUAAUGAAACAGGACGAUCGAUCCUAUUUUGUUGGUUUCUAGGAUUGACGUA